AAAAAGGGUGGUAAAUCUCAUCUAAAGCUAAAUAUUUGGUAAGAGACCGAUAGAAAACAAGUACCGUGAGGGAAAGAUGAAAAGAACUUUGAAAAGAGAGUUAAAAGUACUUGAAAUUGUUAACUGGGAACCGCUUAAAUUCUAAUCUCUUAAUUUUAUUAAAUCAUCUUCUUUAACGAUGGAUCACAUUAAAUAGAUGUAACUUAGUUACUCUAUGAGUGGGUGAAGUCAAAGAGGAAGUGCACUUUAGUAGAAUUAUAAUCAACAUGAAUUUUAAGAAACUUAGAAAAAUAAGAAGAAAGGUAGUAGUCUUAUCUUCGGGUAUUACUAUGUUAUAAUCUUUUAUUGUAAUGAGUUACUUAAGAUUGUGGAAUCAAUGUACUCCUCUAUGGAUUGUGAUAUUAGGUUCAUGGAAGGGA
rnacentral:rRNA from 1 species